UACGUAGGGGGCAAGCGUUGUCCGGAAUUAUUGGGCGUAAAGAGCGUGUAGGCGGUCCGGUAAGUCAGCUGUGAAAGUCAGGGGCUCAACCCCUGAUCGGCCGUGCGAACUGGGGAGCUUGAGCACUGUAGAGGCAGGCGGAAUUCCGGGUGUAGCGGUGGAAUGCGUAGAGAUCCGGAAGAACACCGGUGGCGAAGGCGGCCUGCUGGGCAGUUUUGCUGACACUGAGGCGCGACAGCGUGGGGAGCAAACAGG
rnacentral:rRNA from 1 species